rnacentral:lncRNA from 1 species
UGUCAUUAAUCCCCCCUCAGAUGCUCUCCCUUGCUGUGCACACGGUUAUCCCACGGUCCUUGCUGCUUGCGGAGUGCCUUUCGAAGUCCUUUUUAGUGUCUCUUGUUGCUCCCUCCUGGCUGCGCUGAUGACCUGAAUCCACUCAAAAUGUUCACCUUUCACAAUCACUCUGACUUUGAGGAGGACGCAGGAGUCUACAUGGUGCCAAAUCAGGCUGAUUCCCAGUGUCAGAUCUGGCCGGCAUGGUUUUCCUUGGACCCCAUCAACUCCCCCAGAACUGCACACAAGGUUCCUUCACUCCCAUCAGCCUCUGUUUUUCAAUCUGUCACCCCCAGCCAAAGAAACUUGCCUGAGUUUGAGGGGCGGCAGCUCGGCUCAGUGCCUGGUGUACAAGGAAAGCCCUAAUAAGAAAAAGAUGAAACAGA